rnacentral:lncRNA from 1 species
GACUCACAUCAGUGCAAUAUUUUAGACUUUUUGUGGGGUUUUUUUUAAAGGAAGCAGUAAAAGAACAUUUCAUACCUUCAUUGCAACAUAGAAACCUUUGCCUGCUAACCUCGCUGUGAAAAAAGAACAGAGAUACUACCAGUGGGCCAAUGCUGAUGUUGAAAGUUUUCUCAUCCUCCAGGCAGUGAGGGAAUGAUUGGGACAUUUCCUGGCAAUGUAAUAAAGUCAGCCUCUUAAGCUUUCUGGCCAAGAGGUAAGAAAGCCCCAGAGAAAGAGAUCACUGAAGAGAGACCACCAUACCCUUAGGCCACAUCUUUUUCGCUGAAUCUGCCAACGGGGACAGCCGCCUUCAUUCUGGACCCUCUCAGAGCUUUGCUCAGUACCAAGACACUUUGAAGUAUGUCAGAGGCUGGAAUGCUACUGCAGAAAUUCCUCCGGGGACAUCCCAUAGUUUUUGGGGCUCUUUUGAUGCUGAUUGGGCUGUUCCAGGUGGCCUUUGGAAUCGUCUUGUUCUUCUUCCCUUGUGUCUACAGGGAUGAACUGGGCACCCAUUUCUAUUCAGCCGCACUGCUGAUCCUGGCAGGCAUCCUCACCCUUGCAGCAGAUAAAGCCAACAGCUUAUGUCUGGUGAAAGCCUGCCUUGUCAUAUAUAUUGUCUGCGUAAUCGUGGUGGCAGUGAUCAACAUUUUCUACCUGAUAGAUUUACUGUAUGACCCCGUUAACAGGAAUAUCAGAUGUUCUAGAACAGAUCCUUUUUGUGAAAUGCUGCAUCAGAUUGCGGUUUGUUGUGCAGGCGUACGUGGCAUUGUCCUAGUUUUAACUUCUCUCGGAUUCUUUAUUGGUGUCUCUAUGGCAGCCUUCGGAUGCAAAGCUGUGUGUCGCCAGAGCUUAGAGGACGAUAAUGUGCCCAUUGCUGGAUCAAGGCAUUUUCCCAGUUCAACUGAAGUAGUCAGAGAGAUUCAGUCCUAAGAAGUUUGCUCGUGGAUCUGAAUCCUAAGCACCUGGAACUGGAAGAACCUCAUAACACAGCUGUCCCGACUCGUCCCUUUCCACCUGCUUCACGAAUACACGGAGGAAUUUUGUGCUUCCCUGUCUUCUGCUAACCUGCUGUUUGCCAAACUCCUGGGCCCAAACAUUACAUGGUCCCCAUGCUGUAUUUUUAACAUUAACCCGCCUUUCUGAAAUGUAAGCUUUGAAAGGCAGGUGAGUGCAUUAAACUACGACAGUGCACUUGCAGCUCACAGAAACCCUAGAAUUGCUUUACGAUGGCCAUGUGUAAAGUCAAAUGUAAUUUCCCUUCUUUGCUUUUAAAGAACUAUCUUACAACCGCAAACACUGCAUGUAGCACAUGAGGCUUUUUUUUGUUUGUUUUCAGGGGGCUUGUGUGUGUGUGGGUCUCCUCAUUUUAUUUCCUGUCCUAACAUGCUUUGAUGUAGCCAGAGGUCUUUUGCAGAAAGCACAAUACUAACCUAUUUAAAAUGCUGUCCUAUGCAGUUUUACUCAGAGGUGAACAAUAAAUAAAUAAAAUCAAAAGGCUGCUGUUGCCGC